UACGAAGGGGGCUAGCGUUGUUCGGAAUCACUGGGCGUAAAGGGCGCGUAGGCGGCUUUAUAAGUCGGGGGUGAAAGCCUGUGGCUCAACCACAGAAUUGCCUUCGAUACUGUAGAGCUUGAGACCGGAAGAGGUAAGUGGAACUGCGAGUGUAGAGGCGAAAUUCGUAGAUAUUCGCAAGAACACCAGUGGCGAAGGCGGCUUACUGGUCCGGUUCUGACGCUGAGGCGCGAAAGCGUGGGGAGCAAACAGG
rnacentral:rRNA from 1 species